GGUAGCUCAGGGGUAGAGCAGUGGAUUGAAAAUCCUCGUGUCGGUGGUUCGAUUCCGCCCC
rnacentral:tRNA from 1 species